ensembl:lncRNA
AGCACUGCGGGGGUUUUGGGAAGUCAUGCUAACUGCUUAGCUGUGCUGCGCUAGCCACCAUUUCGGUUUGUUUACUUCCGGUAUGGCUGCUGAUGAAACGAUAUGAAAACUAGCUAGUGUAACAUGACGUGUAUAGACAUGAGACGCAUUUCGGGCAUAAUAAACGCUGUAAGAAACGUGUCAGGAGCUGAAAAGAAACACACCAGACUGCUUUAAGCACUAACUCCGAGAAGAGUACCAGCUAAACCAGCCAAACCAGCACAGAGUCACGCGUGACAAGUGACCCUUAAUGUGCCGUGCUGACGUCACAGGGAGACACUUGGUGUUUUUUUAUCAGUGGUAAGGCUACAUCGGUCUUUCGCUCUGCACACAAAGGUCAAACCGCUGCGUGACAACUUUUCUACGAGCAUCCUCCGGUUUGCUUGUUGUCCAGAAAAGCUGAAAAGACUCGCGCAGCCCAGCCAGGGAUGCUAAAUUGUCGUGGAAAUUAGACAACACUCGCAGACUUGUCCUCUGAAGGUAAAAGGUUUAUUACAGAAAGAUGGUUAAUACAGGAUAGAAUAAAGCAGGAUAGAAUAAUGAGAGAGCUCUGAAGUGCUUGUGCUGAACCACUACUAUAUAUAUAUAUAUAUAUAUAUAUAUUAUAUAUAUAUAUAUAUAUAUAUAUAUAUAUAUAUAUAUAUAUAUGAAACGCAGAGCAUGACACACUUCUGUGUACCGAUAAGAAGAUAAACAUUCUGUACUGAUCUCACUGACAUGAUAUGGCCUUCUUAGGCAUUAUCCUCAGAUGGGAAUGAAACAGAACAAGAACAAAACUAUUACAAAGUAAAAAUGAAUCAUUUCCCUCACACGUGUUUAGUGAUCGUGGUGAUAAUUUGCCGUGCCGUAUUUUCGUUACAGCGUGACAAGUGAGCCUUAAUGUGCCGUGCUGACGUCACAGGGAGACACUUGGUGCUUUUAGUAAGGAGAAAACAUUUCAAGGACCUCAAACACAAGAGUCAUAUCUCUCAGGUUUCACGGUAA